ACAGAGGAAAGAACUAGGGAAGGUUUG
rnacentral:piRNA from 1 species